rnacentral:piRNA from 1 species
UAGGACUCCUGGAAUGUAUGUAUGCA